CUGAAACUGCGGAGGUCACACUUGAUUCAGAGCACCCUUUGAUUUUUGACCACUUCGUCUGACCAUUAUUAAUAUUGAUCUGGAAAAGGACGGAUGGAAAUAGCUUCCAGAGUUUUUUGCAGUUUUGCCCUGCCCCCGCCCCAAACUUGCCCAGGAAGCCCCGUGACCCCUCAGAGAGAGCGGAGCGGGAAAUGCUCUCACCUUGAGACUUACCGGUCCCAGGCUCCUUUCCAGACCUUGUCACCCAGUUUCCGAGGGAAACGGAAGGGCGCGUUUAUUCAUGCCAGCGGAGGUCGCCCAAUGGUGACGAGAGCCUCCGUCUGAGACCCACCGAUCUCUCCCCCACUGCGGGCCAAGGCCGAGGCUGGAGGGUCUUCCCCGGGAGGCUAGUUCGGUGUGCACUGGCCAGCCGGGAACCACAGCGCGCAGACCGGGCCUACCUCUCCAGCCCCGCUGGCAGUCUGUUAGGCCAGCCGCUGUCGGGUGAGCCGGCUGGGGCCACUUGUCACCAGUGGGUUUAGAAACCCACCAACUAAAACCCAAGUUCUGCGACUGAAAGGAUUGUUUGUGUAGAUUCCGUGUUUCUUUCCAGGCGGUGCGCUCAUCCCCUCCUCGAGUUUUCCCCUCUGAGCUCAAGUAAACUUGCGCGGUCUUCUGCGACAGGAGAUAGCGAUACCUUUUCUCCCAGAUGGGACCGCUGGAGCCGAGGAGCAUAACCGUUCUUCAAUAACUUGCCCAAGGCCAUUUUACCAGGUGGAGUCAGAAUUCGAACCCAGACACCUUACGCUGAGAAUCCGAUGACUAAUCAUCAGCGAGUGGGUGGAAACCUGGCUUGAAUAAGUGACCAGUGCUCUCCGUACCUCCUGCAGUGUGAAGGUCGGUGGGCACUCACUUCCUGAACUUUCCUCUGGACACUUUGAAGUUCGGGACACUGAGUCUCCGGAGUUUGCAGAAGCCUUGGUGCCCAGCUCCAGCUGUUCAGCGUCAUCUCGCUGCACCCUGUAUCACCACUACUCCGGAGAAGUCUUUAGAAAUAGUUUCCCCCCUAGAGAAACAGGUGAUUAAAGUAGACUCCAGCAGAUCUUUGACAACUCCAGGCUUCUGUCACUGUGCAGGCAAGAACCAUGUGCUGUUCUGACUCUCUGGAACCUAGUUCAGUAUGUUGGCACUGGGCAAUAAAG